rnacentral:lncRNA from 1 species
CCUGCAGCUGCCUUCCCAGGGGAGUGGGCGUCAGAGAGGGAAGGGCAGGCAGAGCAAGGAAGCGUCUAAAGCUCAGAUCUGGGGGUGCAGGACCCUUGGUGUGGGCGCCCUGGGAGGGCCCUGGUCACCCCACGCAGAGACCGGAGGGCGUAUGAUGUUUUCAGGGCAGUGGUGCUUGUGUCGCAUGAGCUAGGAGCCGCCUGGUAAAAGCGCAGACCCUUGGCUUCAUCCUUGGUGGAGAACACAGAGACGCUGACUCAGGGGGCUCAGGACCGUGCAUUUUCAUUUUGUGGGCGUGAUUUUGUCACCUCAGGAAAUCCUGACACUGCUGUUCCUUCGACAUCACAGAAAUGCCUCUGUCAGGGCCAGGAGCCUUGGAAGCUGGAAACCCGCUCAAGUCCCUAACCUUGCUGCUUCUGCGGGAGCCUGGGAGGCUCAUGUCCUGACCGCCCAGUCUCCGCUGGCCUGGGGCACAUGCUCCCUGGGGCACGUGGGCAAGGAUGUCCCAUCAGGGCCUGAUUUCCCUCCUUGGUCAGGUGACGAUCCGACAGCUCCCUGUUCACUUCAUCUCAUUUCGCAUGUUGGCGUUAUUUCCUCCCUGCUCAAGAAGCAAUUUCAGAGGGCUUACACGGGUUUAUGGCUACUUUGAGGGCUGUGUGAAGGAUUAGGACUUAAGCUGCCAGCGCUCCUUCCGCUGCAAAGAGCCUUGCAUCUUUAUAGAAGGUAAAGCUACCAAAUCCGUACUUGAUUUGUUUAAUGAAAUGUUGGACUUCUUAGCAGGCGCACGGUGU